AAAUAGAAAUCAAAUAAAUGCUAAUGAGUAGAAAUAUUUUAUAUUAUAGAUCAAGAAUCCAAAGAAGAACGAGGAAAAGAAAAAGUUGCGGAAUAGUCCCAAAAUUUCAAUAUCUUCUACAAAUUAGCCGGAUUGACUUGAAGUGAAGUGGGUAGAUCGGAUCAACACAACAAAGCACACUAUCCAGAUCAAUUCCGGUAGCUUUUGUUUUAUGUUUGAAGAUUUAUAUGGCAUGUAUAGAGUUUGAAUGAAUUGAAGUAAAGAUGUUAUAAACUAGUUAACAAUAUUUGUACUAAAAUAGUUUUCAGUAAGUAGCAGUAGUUUGACUUUGAAAAAUCACUAAAAA